GCGAUCCUGGUGCCACGUAAUCAGGGUGAAGGGUCGGGCGGGAGGCGGCGGAGCCGAGCCUGGCGAGCGGCAGCCGCAGAGCGACCGGUCCCGGCGGGCAGCUGCUGUCUGCAGCCCACUGAGGCAGAGGCGGCUCGAACAGAAGGAAUCAAAUGAAAGAGUAGCGCAUUCAAGACGGCCACUGCAGUACAAAUUAAGAAUCAAGACAAUCAACUAGGUUGAGUGUUAUUUGCACUGUACUUUGCAACUCUUGUUUAUCACUUUGCAACACUAAAAAAUGAGGCAGCUGAAAGGAAAACCAAAAAAGGAAACUUCGAAAGACAAAAAGGAACGGCGGCAAGCCAUGCAAGAAGCUCGAAGUCAGAUCACCACCAUAGUGUUUCCCACGUUAGCUGUGGUUGUGCUGUUGAUUGUUUUGUUUGUUUACGUGGCCACUCGACCAACUAUUGCAUGAGAGAAAAAUUACAAAGCGUUUCAUGAAGAAAUUUCAUCUUGGCUACAAUGGAUUUAAAAUGGAGUAAAUCCAACCAGGGUUAAAUGCUUCACAUUUUUCUGUCCAAUUACAGUUCCAUUCUUACUGGUCUUGACAUGUGUUUAAAGAGUAUUGUUGCCCAAUGGUACAGUAUAUAUAAUAUAUAUGCUAAUUUCUCUCAUGUGCCUUUGAAAUUUUCACUGGACAGUAUUUUUUCCCCUUAAAAUGAUCUGGAAAUAUUUCCAUUAUCUUGUGCAGAAGUUGAGAGCAAACCCUAAUUCAAAAAAAAUGUCAGAGGCCAAUUUGUUGCAUUGUCUGUAUAGUAGUAGUGUUUUAAACAAAAUUCUACUAUGAAUUUCACCACUCUUGCCAAAGGACAAUCCAUUCUUGUAUUGGAAACGUAUCACUUAAAAUGCAAUGAAUAUAAAUUGUAAAUGUUUAUUUUUAGAAUAAAAUCAAUGUUCAUAAUUUUUCAAAUAUAUAUUUUGCAGUGUCAAGGAACAUGGAGAAGUCUCUUUUGCCAAUAGUUUUAAUGUAUGCCAAAAACAUUUCAGAUUUGUGCUGUGGGCAGCCAGAUGAUAAUUGCUGGAAAUAAUCGCCUGAUAAGCUCUUCAUUCCAUCACUUGCCUGACCCUCUUCCUGAAUGAAUCUACCUCCUUCAGUGAUCAGAUGCUUUAGUAAAAAGUGAUUUUGUCCUGAUGGUGCUUUUGCAGGGAGAAUGAAAUUAUUGAACCCUGGUUGUUGGAAGGGGUAUUUUCACCAACUUGACCACCUUAAAUUGGACCAGUAUUACACCAAUUUUUGGCCAAAGAAAAGUCUGCCUUUUACAGGUUUCAUUGAAUGUCUUAGAAUUGGAUAGGAUGGGAAGUGAUAACUGUGGCACUAUAUUUAUAUUUUACUGCAUAGGCCCAUACAGUGCUCCAACUCUGGUCUUGCUAUGAUUUACUAUAUUAAAAAGAGACUUUUAUUCUAUGCUGGUUGCAAUAAACCAAAACAUCUCAGCAAUCUGGGAUGCAGCUAGAGCCAUAUGGAAGUCUGUUGAUUUUUUGAAAAUCUGAGCCCUUAUCUUUCAUACAAUAUCUUGCAGUUCUUUUUGGUCCUCAGAAUCAUUGGCUGUGGUUCCUAAUUUGGUCGUGUUUGAAAAUUUAAGCUUUACUACCUUUCAUCCUGAUUUAAAAUCAUCACUGUGCACCAAGAAUAACAUUAGCUGCAGUACAACCUGUGAAAUACCCACAGCAGACACACAGAGGAACUACAUUGUCUCCAUUCCCUCUUUAUCUGUGUCAAAACCUUUGAGAAAGCCCAUACACAGUGCAUUCAAAGCCUUUACUGCCAAUCUUCAUUUGUCAACUCUUUAAAGUGCUUAGCUCUGUGUCACUUUCUGAAGUGAUUCAUGUGUGAUACAAGUAGAGUCACUUCCAAAUUAUUCAAUAGUUUAGUUCACUUUUUCCAGACAGAUAAGGAGGAAUAGUCCAGGAAAGUAACAUGCCUAGCUUGUUGGAGCCAACUCAGUAAAUUUAAUUUGACACUGGUGCAAGUUGAAUUCUUAAUCUUCCUUUAGCAGGGGCAAAUCCUCAUGUAUUAAUGUAUGGUGACUCUCGAGUUGGGCAGGAGAGUGGUGGGAAGUUGCAGUUUUUGCCAUGAUUUUAUUCUCUGAGGAAAUUGCUCCACAUUUAAAAAAAAAUAGACAGGAUUUAUGCUUAACUUUUUUUUGAUGCAGUUUGUCUGAAAUAGGCCAAAACAAUGUCAAGGCUUGAAGAAUUUCAAGUGCAGUCUACAUCCAGCACAAAGCAUGUUUGAACAACCUUACAGUCCUGAUGCAGGGUCUCGAGCUGAAAUGUUGACCAUCCCCUUUCCUGCACAGAUGCUGCCUGACCCACUGAGUCCCUGCAGCAGUUUGAUUUUGUUUUUACUUCAGAUUACAGCAUCUGUAGUCUCUUUUGUCUCCAUUUUUCUAUAAUCUUAACUAAUAAAGAAAAUUUUCCUAACGCUGGCCACAUUGAGGAAUUGCAUUACCAUUACAAGUUUUGCCAAAUUCACCCAUUUAUGAACCUAUUGGAGAUUCUUAAAUUUUAGCUUUUCUUUGGGGUACAUAGGCAUGAAAGGGUUACCUUAUCUUUUAAGAGCUUUUAAGUUUUUAAAUUAAUUUAUGAAAUUAACUAUUGUACAUCAGUUUAGCUUGUAAAUGGUUUUGUAUUCAUUUCGUGUUACUCAGAGGAAUAAAUGCUGAUGGCAAAUGCUUACUUUCAGCCACAAUAAAACUGCACCGUGUUGCUACUCUUA